rnacentral:lncRNA from 1 species
GGGGAGCCUCUGCGGCGGGGCGCGCGGGGAGGCGGCGGUGGCGCCGCGGUCCCUCGCGGUGCCCGGCCGCCGCCCCCUGAAAAGAGCCGGGGGCGAAGGCCUGUGAGCGAGCGGGUUGGCUCCGCGGGCGUCGUGCGGAGCUGGCAGCGCCGUCACUGCAUUCCGGUGUUGCUCACCAUAGGGAGAGCUUUCUGAUGCGUCAUGUUCCUCGAGUAUUUUUAUUGAAUCGGGAAUUUUGCAACCCUUGAUCUCUACUCUACUGUGUCCGCAGGCAGCUAAUGACACAGCACGGUUACGAGCUUCAGAUGCUAAAACCGGCAGAGAAGUCCGCGCUGACUGCAGAGUGUAGCUGAGUACGAGCUGCUUCUGUGCCCCUGAGGCUUGGGUGUUAUUCCAGCCCUGUGUUUGACCGGGUACAGCAUCUCAGGACGUACCUGAGAAAUACAGCUGGUGGGAAAGACGGACUGUUUUGUAAUAAACAAAGGAGAAGAUGUUAUAGUUUUGGUUCAAACUGUCUGGAUGUACACUGCUUAAAAUAUUCACGCUUCUCUUAGUCAUCUAAGCACUUCAACCACGGAUAUCCAGGCACAUAUGAUCACGAUGCUGUUAUACAUCACGUCUGGUAAAAACGGAAAGAAAGGUAGUUCUGACUCGGAAAUAUUACAGACCUAUUUGCAUAUGAAUGACACACACUGUUUGAGUACGCGCUGCUUUGGCUUUAUGUUGUACUUUGCACUCGGCUGCCCAGGAACAGGAAGCUCACGAGUUAAACGGGAACACUGCACGUGUUCCUAGAAGCGACUCUGAACGAACUCGUUCAGCAUUGAGCUCUGC